rnacentral:rRNA from 1 species
GUGCCAGCAGCCGCGGUAACACCAGCUGCACAAGUGUAUAUUAAAGUUGUUGCAGUUAAAAAGCUCGUAGUUGGAUAUCUGUCCUGACUGACCUAGCCCUGCGGCUUCGGCUUGCGGUGUGCUGGUUUGUGUUGACCUCGUGCUUCGGCGCGUGUGUCGGCCGUCAUGUCGGACAUCCUUCAGGAGAACUAUCCUGUCAUUGAUUUGAUUGGGGUAAGGAUCCUGAUCGUUUACUUCGAAAAAACUUAGAGUGUUUAACGCAGGCUUUGUGUCGCGAAUAGAUUAGCAUGGAAUAAUAAGAUAGGACUUCGGCAUCGUGCGUAGUUGCCCUUGCGUGUGGUUUGUUGGGUGCUUUUCGGAGUGCCUCUUCAUUCCACUGCUUGGGAAUCACAGCUGCGUGCCGUUCAUUUUGUGGUUUCUAGAGCUGAGUAAUGAUUGAUAGGGAUAGUUGGGGGUGCUC